rnacentral:rRNA from 1 species
UACGUAGGUGGCGAGCGUUGUCCGGAUUUAUUGGGUUUAAAGGGUGCGUAGGCGGUCCUAUAAGUCAGUGGUGAAAUAUCGCAGCUCAACUGUGAGGGGGCCAUUGAUACUGUAGGACUUGAGUGAAUUUGAGGUAGGCGGAAUUGACGGUGUAGCGGUGAAAUGCUUAGAUAUCGUCAAGAACACCGAUAGUGAAGACAGCUUACCAAGCUUCAACUGACGCUGAGGCACGAAAGUGUGGGGAUCAAACAGG